rnacentral:SRP_RNA from 1 species
GCUGGGCGCGGUGGCAUGUGCCUGUAGUCCUGGCUACUCGGGAGGCUGAGGCUGGAGGAUCUCUUGAGUCCAGGAGUUCUGGGUUGUAGUGCGCUAUGCUGAUCGGGUAUCCACACUAAGUUUGGCAUCAGUAUGGUGACCCCCGCCCCCAGGAGCGGGGGACCACCAGAUUGCCUAAGGAGGGGUGAAACGGCCCAGGUCAGAAAUGGGGCAGGUCAAAACUCCCGUGCUGAUCAGUAGUGGGAUCGCGCCUGUGAAUAGCCACUAUGAAUAGCUACUGCACUCCAUCCUGGGCAACAUAGCGAGACCAUGUCUCU